AGUCUCUCUCUGCAGGAGAAGGAGCCGGAGGGUCAGCUCCCGUGGGCCAAGGUGCACACGGCCAGAGCCCAGGGCUGGGCAGUUUGGGGUGAGGGGAGUAAUAAAGGCUGAAGCAGAUGUGUCUCUGCCCUCCUGGAGCACACCCUGAAAGCAGGGGAAUAAGAACCAGGAAGCAGAGGGAAUGCUCAUUUAAGUGGCAGGAAGUUUCUGGCAUGCUUGGAGUCAAGCAGAGAGUGCAGGCAGGGAGACUUCACAGAGGAGGAGAAUCGAGAGACUGACGGACUGAUGGGUGAGGACAGAGCGGGCUUUCUGGGGGCAGGAAGGAGGAAGGGCGAGGAAAAUGGCCUCUGCAAGGAUGAAGGUGGCAGUGAGCGGUUUGCUUGCUGUGGGAUGGCCAAGUAGAUGGGACAUGGCUGGAGGUGGGGCUGAGAAGUAGGAACCCGGGAAUCUGGGCCCAUGGAGGAAGAUGACACAGUCACGGCGUGGACGAGAAGGGCAAAGGCUGUCCUGUUAGUGAGAUCUUUGCACUUUCAGAGCUGCUGGAUGUUGAGGUCUCUUUGGACCUGGGGAACCUAGGAGGAGGGGGUCCUGGGGUCUGGAGCAGCAGGGUGGUGAGGACCUUCAUAAGCGGCAGGAGGAGGGGAGGGGAGAGCCAGAAAUGUAGGCCCGGAGGGGACCGGCGUGGGGCCAAGUGGAAGUCGGAGGCCUCGCUCCUGCUCUGGCUCAGAACUGGCGCCGUGCUCGGGGGCCUGGGAGGCUGGGACGUUACUCAGCUCUGGACUGAGAGAGGCCGACAGCUGGCUGAGACCGGGACAGUUAUAUAUAGGAGUGGCUUGGUGACAGUCUAUACUUAGCUGGCUUUUGACCUUUAGAGAAGUAAGACUUCGUUGAUGUAUUUGUUGAUCCUUAAUUCCACCCGUCCAGCCUAUUUCUCAGAAAGAAAAAUCCAUUUACCUCCCCCUGGCCUUCCUCUCCCAUCCCAUUCCUCCUCAUGUAGUGUGAUUUGGAGAGUAGCUUGACUUUAAUUGUCUGCAUCUCAUUUGACUCAAGUUUCAGAGGGACACCCUUGUUCAGAGUCUGACUCUGUCCGAAAACAUACCGGCUGGGAGUCACACAAAACUGAGUUGGACCACAAUGCCUCCCUCAGCUGAGUGACCUUGGUGUGUGCCAUUUUGAGCUUCGGUGCUCCUCACUUGUAAAACGGAAAUAAUUUAACCCACAAUGGUGGGAAUGCAAAACAGGAUAAUAUACAUAACAUUCUUAAGCAUACUGUUCAAUAAGUAAACGGGCUUUCGACCUGAAGUUCCAACUCUUCACAUUCACUGUGGAUAGCAAAGAGUGUUCUCUCUUUUUAAGAUAGCCUUGGCCUCUCCUCUUAAUGUAUUCCCCUUUCCUUCUGUACCAGGCCUAGUGAUAAUUGCCUGUCCUGCCUCUGUUCACAGGCAGCGAGCCUCAGUGCUUUGAACGCCUCCUGCUCCAUCACAGUGACUGCUCAAGGCAGGACACCUGAUCCCAUCGGAAUCCACCCACGGGUGAGUCUGGGACAAUUCGAUUCUCUCUUUCAUAAAUCAAAGAAUGAAAGGCACACAGGAGGAAGGAUCAGUUAGGGGCAGUCAUGGGAGGUGAGAAGCCUUAGGAGGAUGGAAUAUUGGAAGAAGGAUAAGAGGAACAAAUAGCAGCAGGCGAGGAGGAUGGAAUCAAGAGACAAUGGCCCUGGAUCACAAAGGCUUUUGGUUCUCCCGUUCCAGGGACCCAUGACAUCUUCCCCAUUUUCCCAUGACAUUCCUGGUACCUUUUCAACCACGCCUCUAUUCCCUUGAACUAGUUGGAGGGGGUUUCUGUUCCUUGCAACCCAAAGAGCCUUUAUGAGAACACCGCCAUGGAUUUUCUGAUUGUGAGUGCUGCUUGGCUGUCACAGAAGUCCUCUUCUUCUCUCACCUCGAAGGGUUUGGGCAUUCUGUGUCUUCAUGGAAUGUCAACUCUGCAAGGUGCUGCACGACAGGAGUUCAUUCUUCCAUCGGUUUUCAAGCUAGACAAC
rnacentral:lncRNA from 1 species